UACGGAGGAUCCGAGCGUUAUCCGGAUUUAUUGGGUUUAAAGGGUGCGCAGGCGGGAGAUUAAGUCGGCGGUGAAAUUUUGCAGCUCAACUGUAAAAGUGCCUUCGAAACUGGUUUCCUUGAGUGUGGAUGAAGUAGGCGGAAUUUGUGGUGUAGCGGUGAAAUGCAUAGAUAUCACGAGGAACUCCGAUUGCGCAGGCAGCUUACUAAACCAUAACUGACGCUCAGGCACGAAGGCGUGGGGAUCAAACAGGAUUAGAUACCCCCAUAGU
rnacentral:rRNA from 1 species